AUUGAACGCUAGCGGGAUGCUUUACACAUGCAAGUCGAACGGCAGCGCGGACUUCGGUCUGGCGGCGAGUGGCGAACGGGUGAGUAAUGUAUCGGAACGUGCCCAGUAGCGGGGGAUAACUACGCGAAAGCGUAGCUAAUACCGCAUACGCCCUACGGGGGAAAGCAGGGGAUCGUAAGACCUUGCACUAUUGGAGCGGCCGAUAUCGGAUUAGCUAGUUGGUGAGGUAACGGCUCACCAAGGCGACGAUCCGUAGCUGGUUUGAGAGGACGACCAGCCACACUGGGACUGAGACACGGCCCAGACUCCUACGGGAGGCAGCAGUGGGGAAUUUUGGACAAUGGGGGCAACCCUGAUCCAGCCAUCCCGCGUGUGCGAUGAAGGCCUGCGGGUUGUAAAGCACUUUUGGCAGGAAAGAAACGUCGCGGGCUAAUACCCCGUGGAACUGACGGUACCUGCAGAAUAAGCACCGGCUAACUACGU
rnacentral:rRNA from 1 species